AGCACCAGGGGAACUUAUUAAAAUGCUGAUUCUGAUUCAGUGGGUCUGGGUUGGGGCCUAAGAUUAUGCAUUUCUAACAAGCUCCCAGGUGAUGCUGU
rnacentral:pre_miRNA from 1 species